GGCCGGCGGCUCGCUGGCUCCACGCGCCACCUACGGACCGUGCCGACUCCUGAAGGUCAGCGCUUUGCCCUAGGGUCUGAUGACUCAGCCUAAGAAACCAUCAUCACCACCUUUCAGUCUUCCAGUUCCUCAUUCUUGUCCUGAUUCUGCAGAUACUGGUUUCUCAACAUUUUCUUCAUACCUGGACUUUUGUCCCUGAUGAGAGGUCCUGCAUGACUGUACACCUAGCUGACAAGCAGAGACACUGAAACCAAGACAGUAUCCCCCCCCAGAACAAGAAGGACCAGGGAUCCCACAGAUAUGAUGCUACAAAAGACCUGGUAUAAACUGAAGAAAAACUGCUGGCCUCUCUAAGACUAUUUCAGUUUCAUCUGGCACCCUGGGAAGUCAAAACCAGCAAAAUCAUUUUGUACCAACAAGAACAGCAAUAUGGUAACUUUAUGCUCAGAACUUGGUGUAUAAUGAAUAGGCUAUCAAGCCCUGGAAAAUUUGAUUAUUGGAGCUACACUCAUGGCUGGGUAUUACUGGAAGUAACAGUGAAUACUGGCACCAGGUUCUCUGGCUGUUCUAAUCAUUAAAGUGACAGAAGACAGAUUAACAGAAGAAAAACAAAUUUAAUUACAUGAGUAUGUACGGGAACCCCACACAGACGUGGGGCUGCCUGGUUCUAUUCUAGCCACACAGUUGGCUACAUUAAUUCAUGAAAUAUCUUUUAAUGUAAUCUUAUUUUUAGAGACAAUUUUGGCAACUAUUUUCAAGUAAUACAUUGUUUAGGAAGUUUUAAAAAAUUAUUACAUUCACACUAUAUAUCAUAUACUGCUACUAAGGCCCAUAUAAUAGUGGGUCUGAAAAGGUUAAAUAAUAAAACCUUGAAGGUUCUCUUGCCAGGUAAAACACAUAAUGAUGUUUGAUUGAAGGUUUCAUGGUAUUAUUAAUUGACUUAGAACAGUUGAGGGAUGGUAUGGGCUAGAUCACAUCAGGAAAUUACUCUUCCUGCUGAAAUUGCUAAAUUUUAAAUAUUUUUAUUGCCAUAAUAAGGCAGAAAACAAGUUUGAGUCAGAGAGCAAGGUCAUAUAACAGAGAGAGAAGUCAUUCCCAUUAUGUGGCAAGCACUUAACAGAAACUUUUGGAAGAAUGAAAUCCUUUUAAAUAUAGCUGGUGAAGAAUGUCUAAAACCAGCACUUUGAACAUUUACAAUAUAGGAGACUAUUUAUGCCUCUAAUACAUGAGAGUGGCAACCUCAGUACAAAAACACCCUGGGAGUAGAAUCACAUGGAAGAUAUAUAAAAAGAUCAAUAGAUCCUGGAGACUCAAAUAAGAUGAAAAUUUUGGCCAGAUUUGAACAGAAAUUCCACUAGUUCCCAUCAAAAGAAGGAAGUCAAUAAGUCAGUAUUUGUUGGGAAAAAAUGACACAAAUUGGUAUUAGGAUACUCACUAUAUAUUAGAGAUUGCACAAUUAGUUUCUUAAACUCUAUAUUUAAAUAUAUAGCUUAUCAUUUAUAGGGUGAAUUGAUUUUUUUCCAUUAUUUUUCAAAAUACUAGUUGAGAUUCAUUUCCUCACAGAUAGAUGUAUAGUCCUCUUAGCAUUCCUAUUCAUAGAUACAUGAAUUGGCUAGACUCAAUUGAUACUUAGAUUUCAGGUUGUGUCCUGAAGCUGCAUUGUGAGAAAAAGAGUACUCUAACCAAACAUACUUUAACAGAGCUUGUUCCUGAUUAGUCAACUGACACAAGGAGUCAAAUGUUAAAGGGAAUGUAAAAAUGGGACAGGGCCCUUCCAGAAAUUAGCAGUUUAGAGAAGAAAACUCAUGUAGGAAUACACACCCACAAAAAAAGUACUCCAAUUUGCCAUAAAGGAGGCAAUUUCUAUUCGAAGUCAGAUCUGCUAUGUAUAAACAUAUGUGUGCACACAAAAUAAAUGCAUGUAUGUAUAUGUAUGUAUAUGUAUCUAUGUGUAUAUGUAGAAAUAUUUGAGUAAAUAAUGUUCAUUUCUAAACUACCUAAACUCACUUCACUCACAUAUCUUAAGAGAUAAGAAGAAAUACUUUGGGAAGACUAUUUAAAUAAAGAACACAAUACCAUCACAUC